rnacentral:rRNA from 1 species
GAUGGCGACCGGCGCACGGGUGAGUAACACGUAUCCAACCUGCUGAUGACUCGGGGAUAGCCUUUCGAAAGAAAGAUUAAUACCCGAUGGCAUAGUUCUUCCGCAUGGUGGAACUAUUAAAGAAUUUCGGUCAUCGAUGGGGAUGCGUUCCAUUAGGUUGUUGGCGGGGUAACGGCCCACCAAGCCUUCGAUGGAUAGGGGUUCUGAGAGGAAGGUCCCCCACAUUGGAACUGAGACACGGUCCAAACUCCUACGGGAGGCAGCAUG